rnacentral:rRNA from 1 species
UACGUAGGGGCCGAGCGUUGUCCGGAGUUAUUGGGCGUAAAGCGCGCGCAGGCGGCCUCGCGCGCCCGACGUGAAAGCCCCCGGCUUAACCGGGGAGGGUCGUUGGGGACGGCGGGGCUUGAGGGCGGGAGAGGUCGGUGGAAUUCCCGGUGUAGUGGUGAAAUGCGUAGAGAUCGGGAGGAACACCUGUGGCGAAAGCAGGCUACUGGACCGUCACUGACUCUGAUCUGCGAAAGCUAGGGGAGCAAACAGG